AUAAACUUCAUUGGGGAGUAGCCGCUGUUCUGCAAUAGAACAGGUGAUGGUCAACAUAUUUGCUCUAAAACGAGCAUGGUCAUCAUAGCAAAGAACCAAAUGAGCUCUAUUUGAGCUUUCUUUUGUUGGCAAGACCUUUGAU
rnacentral:sRNA from 2 species